UACGUAGGGGGGCAAGCGUUGUCCGGAAUUAUUGGGCGUAAAGGGCGCGUAGGCGGUCAGCACAAGUCAGUUGUGAAAUCUCCGGGCUUAACCCGGAAAGGUCAACUGAUACUGUGCGACUAGAGUGCGGAAGGGGCAACUGGAAUUCUCGGUGUAGCGGUGAAAUGCGUAGAUAUCGAGAGGAACACCUGCGGCGAAGGCGGGUUGCUGGGCCGACACUGACGCUGAUGCGCGAAAGCCAGGGGAGCGAACGGG
rnacentral:rRNA from 1 species